rnacentral:lncRNA from 1 species
UUUGCCCUCAUAGCCUUUGGAACAAAUUGUUCUCAUCCACCCAUUCUUCUGGGGGAAGUCUUCACAAGCUCAGGAAAGACAUCCCGCUAACUUAUUGGUGAAGGAGAUAAGUGUGGAGGUCAGGAGAGUGAGCUGUAGGAUUUCAAAAGUCAGAGUUCAGGCGUCCCUGAGGUCCCAAGGAGCAAGGAGUGAUCCUCAAGUAAUCAGACCUAGUAGUUGAGACAAGAAUGCAUCUGGCAGUUGUUGUUGAUGUUGUUUGUUCCCCUCCCCCUCAACCAUUUCCCCCCAACUAAGAGGACCAAUGGCAUCAUGAGGUGAUGUCUUGGUUUGCAAUGAAUUGGAUUCAAAUGAGGCAAAGUUAUACAAAGUCAUUAGUCUUACUCUUUCU